GACGAACGCUGGCGGCGUGCCUAAUACAUGCAAGUCGAGCGGACGGAUGGGAGCUUGCUCCCAGACCGUCAGCGGCGGACGGGUGAGUAACACGUGGGCAACCUGCCUGUAAGACUGGGAUAACUCCGGGAAACCGGGGCUAAUACCGGAUAACUCUUUCCCUCACAUGAGGGAAAGCUGAAAGAUGGCAUCUCGCUAUCACUUACAGAUGGGCCCGCGGCGCAUUAGCUAGUUGGUGAGGUAACGGCUCCCCAAGGCGACGAUGCGUAGCCGACCUGAGAGGGUGAUCGGCCACACUGGGACUGAGACACGGCCCAGACUCCUACGGGAGGCAGCAGUAGGGAAUCUUCCGCAAUGGGCGAAAGUCUGACGGAGCAACGCCGCGUGAGUGAUGAAGGUUUUCGGAUCGUAAAACUCUGUUGUCAGGGAAGAACAAGUACCGGAGUAACUGCCGGUGCCUUGACGGUACCUGACCAGAAAGCCACGGCUAACUACGUG
rnacentral:rRNA from 1 species